CUCUUAUCAAGAGCUGGCUGAGGGAUUUGGCCCAUUGAAGCCCAGCAACCGACCGUAAUACCAUUGUGAAAUGGGGCGCUUUUCUUCCGCGCCAGGAUAUCCUGUAAGGCACGGUGCUAAUUCCAACAGAAAGUUAAUCUUUCUGAAAGAUAAGAG
rnacentral:ncRNA from 2 species